rnacentral:tRNA from 1 species
GCAUUGGUGGUGCAGUGGUAGAAUUCUUGCCUUCCAUGUGGAAGACCCAGGUUCGAAUUCUGGCCAAUGCC